rnacentral:rRNA from 1 species
CAAACAGGAUUAGAUACCCUGGUAGUCCACGCCCUAAACGAUGUCAACUAGGUGUUGGAGUUUGAUUUAGUACCGUAGCUAACGCGUGAAGUUGACCGCCUGGGGAGUACGGCCGCAAGGUUAAAACUCAAAGGAAUUGACGGGGACCCGCACAAGCGGUGGAUGAUGUGGAUUAAUUCGAUGCAACGCGAAAAACCUUACCUACCCUUGACAUGUCCGGAACCCUGCUGAGAGGUGGGGGUGCCCGAAAGGGAGCCGGAACACAGGUGCUGCAUGGCUGUCGUCAGCUCGUGUCGUGAGAUGUUGGGUUAAGUCCCGCAACGAGCGCAACCCUUGUCGUUAGUUGCCAUCAUUUAGUUGGGCACUUUAACGAGACUGCCGGUGACAAACCGGAGGAAGGUGGGGAUGACGU